rnacentral:lncRNA from 1 species
UCUCAGGCAAAACACACCUCACAACUUCUUGCGCUGCAGCGAGAGCUUGAGUGACAAACACUUCAACACCUGUCUCGAACUGACAUUUGUAGUAAGAAGGAUCUGACUCCUUGUGAGGUCUUCGAGUCAAUCCUUUGACGAAUACAACCACCGUGUCGCCGUCGAUCACUGCCUCGUAACCAACUUUGGCCCAAUCAUGAACCUUCUUCUCAUCACUCAGCUUCUUCUUCUUCUUCACCAAAUCUCCGUCGAAUUGGAGAUCAAGAGAUGAAGAAUAGUUCAAAGGAGCGUUAGGGCACCGAACAACCGAUCUGAACUCAUCGAAUUCAUCACUAGAGAUCGACGGCAACACCAAAGUCUCUUCCUUUCUUCCUCCGUGAUAAACACAAACUAGUUCCUUCCCACCUCUCCCGAUUCUGGUGGAGAGAAUCAGCAGCACAUGGUCGGGGAAUUGGACUCUGUCUUCGACUCUCAGCGGAGGGAAUCUACCGUGAAACGAACGUUGAAUCGAAUCCAUCGAAGACAAGACGGAGAGAGCAGGGACGCGGAGAGACGGUCUCAGAGAAUCGGAACGGACAGAGAUUCGGUCGGAGGAUAAGAAGAAGAAGAGCAAGACGAAGAAACAGCAAAGGCAUAUCGUUAGAUACCUUAGAGACAAGAACUGUGCUUUAGGUUGAUGCUGAUGCUGUCUGUUCCGAACUUUCCUCUUCUUCCCAUGCUCAUACUCCAACAUCAUCUUCUUCCUCUUCUUUCUUUUUUUUUUCUCCACUAAAUUUAUAUAAAAAUCAAAACUUUUUCUUCUGGGUGGGCGGGGAUAGAGCAGGGUGCUAUAAUAAACUGAUCUGAAGAAGGUUUUAGUCGGGGGAGAAGAGAUCUGGUUUUUGCGCAGGCCGACCAAAGUACCUUGUUCUUCUACUAAAGAAGGAAUAUAUAUAUUUAAUUUAAUGAAUUUCCUUUUCCUUUUCCUUUUCUGAAAUAAUCGUUUUGUGAUAGAGAAAGGAAAAGAAACAAGGAAGACGCGUUUGUGUUGUGAUGAGUCGCGUUAGGCGUCGGCGUUUUGCAAUAAUAUUGGAAAGCCACCGAUUAAUACUAAUGAUUUUCCGAUUACGUCAUUUUCUAAUGGAUUAAUGAUUUUUUGUUGUUUGUUUAGUAAUGAAGGCGAGAAAGAUGCCACUAGUUUUGCGACCUGUGGCCAUCCAAAGAUGCUUACAACGAGGUGGACCAUUAUCGUCUUUUUUAUUUAUGUACUGUAUAUUUAUAAUGUUUUGGGUUUGAAAAAAAGAGGCCUAUGAUUCUCCGACAGUUGUGUUGCGUGGUCUUUUAGUUAAUUGUUUCUCAAUAUUCGCCGGAGGGGAGGACCAACCCUGUUGGUACAAAGCAAGAUUGUGAUUAUAUUAUCAAUUUGAUUCCAGUGUGUGUAUCUACACAAUUGGUCGGUUUGGGUUGAUGAGUUAAAAAUUACAGAGAAAAAUGACAGAAAGGCCGUAUUCUUUUAAAUGACGUUAUAGGAUACUUCCUCCGGAUACGAAUGUACGAUGUUCCAUCUUUUUAUCUUGGAUAUAAAUAUAUGAUGUUUUGAGAUAUAAUUAAUGCAUUUAGUUUUAAAAUUUAAACAGAGGACGAGAGCGUUCAAGAACUUACACUCCACGAUCUGAGUCGGGAUCGGGCCGGAGAGUUUGUUACCGGACAGAUCUAGAGUGACGAGGUAAGGAAGCCACGAGCAGAUUUGGGAAGGAAUCGCGCCGGAGAGAUCGUUCCCGGAGAGAUCUAAAGACUGUAGGCUCCGGCAGAGCUUGAGAGACUCGGGAAUCUGGCCGGCGAGCUGCAUAGAUUGGAGCUGGAGAGAGAUGAUGCGAUUCUCUUUCUCGUUCCAGCAGGAGACGCCGGUGAGCUUGCAAAUCGAUGAGGCUGAGGAGUUCGGGAAGGACCAGGAGGUGAGUCGUGACGAAGGGUCGGUGAGUGACUUCUUUAGGCCUUGGAGACAGAGGACGUCGUCUUCUGCGAAAGAAGAUAGAAACGAGCUGAUGAAGAGGAGCCAUAAGAGAGUCUUCAUAGGUGGAUCUGUGAAGAUGAUGUAUCUCUCUCUCUCUCUCUCUCUCUCUCUAGGGUUUGUUUUUCCUCAGAGAAGUUCGAUGGCGGAAAGAACGCUCAUUGACUGUGUUACUGAUGAAAAAAGGAGACAACUUUUUUUUUUCCUCUGUUUUGUUUGACUAUUUUUUUCUUUUUUUUAGUCAUUUUGCAGAGAUUAUAAUUAUUAAUUUGUUUAUACUAUUUGUUUGUUACUAGCUGGUUUGUUUUGUUUGGGAAAAGCAUCCAGUAACUAAACGACGCCGUUAGAAUAGCAUCUCUGAGAGUCAGAGAGAAGAUUUAAGUCAGUUUGGUAUCAAAUCCUUGAAAAGGAAAGGUAGUUAUUCUUUCUGGGUUGUCAAAAGUACAAAUCAAGAACUUACGACUCUUUCUUGUAAUGAUGAUACGACCAACAUAUCAAAUACUUGUAAUUAAUAUGACUUUAUUGGGAUUUAUUUUUAUUUAAUAUAGGCUGGCUCAUUCAUUACUCACAAGAGUAUAACUUGCAAGUUGAUGGUGAUAGAGAAAAAAAAGGUCAAACUAGAACUAAAAAGAUCCUAUGUUUUGGGCAAUGGGCUUGUAUACCGUUACUAACAUUUCAGCCCAAAAUGUGUUAGGGUUCGCUAGUUUUUUUCUUUCCGGUGACUUGUAGCCUAGGUGGCCGGAAAAGAGAACAGUAAACGAUAUAGCCUGUGGUAUGUUUGGAUAGAAAACCGCUUUUAAAUACCACUACUAUUUUACUUUCAUGAUUGGUAAUCGUCAAAUUGGUAAUAUCCGUUACCACUGCCAUAACGACAAUGAUUAACAUGUUUGGUCUAAAGAUUCCUUCAAGCUUUAUCUUUAUCAUCUUACUGACAACUUUCUUACCGACAAAAAUAUAGUCCAAACAAAAAUCCGAAAGACCUUGGUAAAUAAAUAUUAAUUCAAAAAAUAUUGAAAUUUACAAAUGUGGUAAACUCUAUUAAACAAAACAAAAUUAGAAACCAUUUCAAUUCUCUCCAACAAAAAAAACACAAUUAAAUAACAAAAGAAGUAAUAUUAAUGUAUACUCGUCAAAUGUACAUAAUCUCACAAACCAAGUAACCAAAAAAAAAAGAAGUCAAUCUUGUUGUAGUUGUUGUUGCCUCUGCCACGGCAAAUAACCAGUCACUUGAUCAGCAAAAUUAGACAAAACCAAAUCCUUCAAACCAGUAUCCCACACUUCACAGAACCGUCUGUUCCAAUCAACCGGCUCAAUAGCCUCUGUACCAAGCCCUGGAGCUCGAUCUUUAGACCCUUGGUUCUGAUUCUCUCGCCAGUCCACAACAUAAGUAGCCACUCUCCUCUGAAACUUCGCUUUAAAAGUAUCCCAAACUUGGUACUUGUAAUGGUUCACAACCGCAACACUCUCCAACAAACUCAUAUGCCCUACUCCUUCCCUCAUCUGAAAAUGAUGAACCUCGUUCAGCAACGAGCUUGUUAGCAUCUCUGGUCGGAUUAUCGACUUGUGUCUCUCCGGAUUCGCUUGUCUGCAAGUGUAACCUACCGUCACGCCUUGCGAUGGAACUGUAGUUAGACCGGACGGACCGUAACUAUGACAUUCGGUUCUUAUCUCUCCGACCAAACCCCACGAAGUGUAGUUAGACACAAGAGAGCUUAAAGCGUUUUUGCUAGGUAAGCCUUGAGAGCGAUGCGUGGGGAAGUAGUAGAACUCGUCCACGUCGAAGAACCCGACCCAGUUGCAUUCAUCUUUGGCUCUAACCGCACAAUGCGAGAAACCAGCUUCUUGAGUCUUGAUCCACGGCCAGACGUGUCGGCUCACAUUGUAAUUCUCUGAGUUGAGCAAUUCAAUCUCCUCUUGUAUAUCGUCGUCGCUGUUGUUGUCGUAUAUAAACCAACGCUCGACGCCUAGCCACGAGUGGUACAUAAUCCAUUCACGCAAGAAGGGAGCUUGGUUCCAUAGCAUCGUGCAAACACAAAGCUCAUGCUUCUUCACCUUCACCACACUACUCUUCUCGGAACCGUAGACUCGCGCUACGGAUGGUAAAGCAGGCGUGGAUUUUCCUCUAGGAUCGAUGUGGAUCACGCUCACUCGAAACAUCUCCGGAUUUAGCUUCAAGCUCUCAGGCAAAACACACCUCACAACUUCUUGCGCUGCAGCGAGAGCUUGAGUGACAAACACUUCAACACCUGUCUCGAACUGACAUUUGUAGUAAGAAGGAUCUGACUCCUUGUGAGGUCUUCGAGUCAAUCCUUUGACGAAUACAACCACCGUGUCGCCGUCGAUCACUGCCUCGUAACCAACUUUGGCCCAAUCAUGAACCUUCUUCUCAUCACUCAGCUUCUUCUUCUUCUUC